UACGGGGGGGGCAAGCGUUGUUCGGAAUUACUGGGCGUAAAGGGCUCGUAGGCGGCCAACUAAGUCAGACGUGAAAUCCCUCGGCUUAACCGGGGAACUGCGUCUGAUACUGGAUGGCUUGAGUUUGGGAGAGGGAUGCGGAAUUCCAGGUGUAGCGGUGAAAUGCGUAGAUAUCUGGAGGAACACCGGUGGCGAAGGCGGCAUCCUGGGCCGAUACUGACGCUGAGGAGCGAAAGCGUGGGGAGCGAACAGG
rnacentral:rRNA from 1 species